CCAUGUGAGUAUGCAGAUAACUUCCCUCAUGUUAGCCUGCAGCACAUGGCCUGUGGCAGGUGCUGAACACUUUGGUGUCUAUUUUCUGUCUUCUUGGGGGAUGACGAUCAAAGACACCUGCCUUGGCCCCUCCUCAGAGAGCUGUUCACUCCACAGCCCACGUGACCGUCACGCCACAAACCUAUCUUCCCACUGAUCAAGUCUUGUAGUCUCACAAGGCUGACGUGCACAGAACCCAACGGAAGAAAAAAGAAAAAAUGCAGGCCAGCUGAGGAUUCAUGGAAUCCUGAGCUCAGCAACUGGGUUUGUUCUCAACAGCUCUGCAUUUUAUCUGCCUGAAGGCUGACCUCUAUGCAUAUCAGGAGCUUUGACGAAGACAGAAGACAAAUGGGCAAAAACCAGCAUCCAUCUGCAAUUCAUUUCAACUGCCAAUUGCUAACCACUGGGAAAAACUGCUUAUCAUCUAACUGAAGAUCUCCAGACAGUGGACAGAAUCGCUGGAAUUGACAGCCUAGCUGCACAGGUAAAGGGAGGCUUGUCUUCCUACAUAUUUCUUAUCCCACAGCAUCUUCUAGAGCCUGGCAUGUCCUGUGCUAAACACCAGAAGAAAAAUACAACCCUCAGCAACCUGAGGAGUAGCUCUAGGUGCCAACCAAGUAAGUUCUUUGUCAUUUCUAAAUCAACAACUCAAGUAAAAUUUUAUCCUUCUCAAAGAUCUCUGAUGUAGUUUGACAGUUGAGAGGUUUUGUGAUUCAAUAGGACAGCCUCACCAAACAAAUUUCAACAAGUACACGUUAUCAAAUCUUUCUCAUGCUGCCUUCCAUAGUCUUAAAAAUACUUUUCAUUGUGCAAAACCAUCUGUCACAAUCAUUCUGGCACAAAUAUGCUACUGUUUAUACAAUGUAUAUGUCUAAAACUUAAGUUUUCACAAACCCAAAGAAUUAUUGUGAGUUCCAGGGAGCCGAAUUAAAGAAUCUACCUUAAGCAGGUCAGAUAUAUCCUUCUCAAUUUCCUGGUACUAAAAAUUUAUUUUCCUAAACUUAACUUUGUCCUCUGUUCUGCCAAUACUUUAAACAGGUGUAAGAGACACCAGACAUUUCCAUACCACAAACACCGGACAGGAGUAAAGAGACCAGCUACUCCAGGAUGUGACCAGCACCCAGCUUUCUCUAGUCCCCCAAGACAAAACCCACAAAUAAACAGGAAGCAGUCUUGAGAA